rnacentral:rRNA from 1 species
GAAUAUUGGACAAUGGGCGAAAGCCUGAUCCAGCGACGCCGCGUGUGUGAAGAAGGCCUGCGGGUUGUAAAGCACUUUCGAUGGGAACGAAAUGUGCCGGGCUAAUACCCCGGCAAGCUGACGUUACCCAAUGAAGAAGCCCCGGCUAACUCUGUGCCAGCAGCCGCGGUAAUACAGAGGGUGCGAGCGUUAAUCGGAAUUACUGGGCGUAAAGCGCACGUAGGCGGUGUGUUAAGUUGGAUGUGAAAGCCCCGGGCUCAACCUGGGAAUUGCAUUCAAAACUGGCACGCUAGAGUAUGUGAGAGGGGGGUAGAAUUCCAAGUGUAGCGGUGAAAUGCGUAGAGAUUUGGAGGAAUACCAGUGGCGAAGGCGGCCCCCUGGCACAAUACUGACGCUCAGGUGCGAAAGCGUGGGGAGCAAACAGG